rnacentral:tRNA from 1 species
GAUUUAGCUCAGUGGCAGAGCACUUGCCUAGCACAUGCAAGGCCCUGAGUUCAAUCCUCAGCAACA